rnacentral:rRNA from 1 species
CCGUAAGGACAUGUGGACAGUAUACGAGUGAGAAUGUUGGCAUGAGUAGCGAGACGUGGGUGAGAAUCCCACGGGCCGUAAACCCAAGGUUUCCAGGGGAAGGUUCGUCCGCCCUGGGUUAGUCGGGACCUAAGCCGAGGCCGAAAGGCGUAGGUGAUGGACAACAGGUUGAUAUUCCUGUACCGCCAAUAAGCGUUUGAGAGAUGGAGUGACACAGUAGGAUAAGCUAACCGUACUGUUGGUUAUGUACGGCUAAGCAUUGAGGCAGUCUAAAUAGGCAAAUCCGUUUAGACAAUGCUAGGAUGUGAUGGGGAAGCCCUUCGGGGCGAAGUAGCUGAUUUCACACUGUCAAGAAAAGCUUCUAUCGAGUUUAAAGGCGCCCGUACCGUAAACCGACACAGGUGGGUGAGGAGAGUAUCCUAAGGCCAGCGAGAGAACUAUUGUUAAGGAACUCGGCAAAAUGACCCCGUAACUUAGGGAGAAGGGGUGCCAUCCUAUGGAUGGCCGCAGAGAAUAGGCCCAAGCGACUGUUUACCAAAAACACAGGUUUCUGCUAAGUCGCAAGACGAUGUAUAGGAGCUGACGCCUGCCCGGUGCUGGAAGGUUAAGGGGAUCUGUUAGAGCAAUCGAAGCAGUGAACUUAAGCCCCAGUAAACGGCGGCCGUAACUAUAACGGUCCUAAGGUAGCGAAAUUCCUUGUCGGGUAAGUUCCGACCCGCACGAAAGGCGUAACGAUUUGGGCACUGUCUCAACAAUAGACUCGGUGAAAUUGUAAUCCCGGUGAAGAUGCCGGGUACCUGCGACAGGACGGAAAGACCCCAUGGAGCUUUACUGUAGCUUGACGUUGGGUCUUGGUACUACAUGUACAGGAUAGGUGGGAGACUAUGAAGCAUGGACGCCAGUCUGUGUGGAGUCACCCUUGGGAUACCACCCUUGUAGUACUGGGAUCCUAACCAUAGGCCUUGAAUCAGGUCUUGGAACACCGUCAGGUGGGCAGUUUGACUGGGGCGGUCGCCUCCUAAAAAGUAACGGAGGCGCUCAAAGGUUUCCUCAGCACGGUCGGAAAUCGUGCGAAGAGUGUAAAGGCAAAAGGAAGCUUGAUUGCAAGACAUACAGGUCGAGCAAGGACGAAAGUCGGACUUAGUGAUCCGGUGGUACCGCAUGGAAGGGCCAUCGCUCAACGGAUAAAAGCUACCCUGGGGAUAACAGGCUUAUCUCCCCCAAGAGUCCACAUCGACGGGGAGGUUUGGCACCUCGAUGUCGGCUCA